AGAAUCAACGCUGGCGGCGUGCCUAACACAUGCAAGUCGAACGCGAAAGUGGAGCAAUCCAUGAGUAGAGUGGCGAACGGGUGAGUAACACGUGGGUGACCUACCUUCGAAUGGGGGAUAACGUCCCGAAAGGGACGCUAAUACCGCAUAACAUCCUGCCUUUGAACAGGUGGAGACCAAAGCCGGGGAUCGCAAGACCUGGCGUUUGAAGAGGGGCCCGCGUCUGAUUAGCUAGUUGGUGAGGUAACGGCUCACCAAGGCGACGAUCAGUA
rnacentral:rRNA from 1 species